GCGGAAGUAGUUCAGUUGGUAGAAUGUCGGCUUCCCAAGCCGAAGGUCGCGGGUUCGAGUCCCGUCUUCCGCUCCA
rnacentral:tRNA from 1 species